GUAGGGAAUAUUGCGCAAUGGACGAAAGUCUGACGCAGCGACGCCGCGUGAGUGAUGAAGGCCUUAGGGUCGUAAAGUUCUGUUGAAUGGGAAGAAAAAAAUGACGGUACCAUUCGAGGAAGGACCGGCUAACUUCGUGCCAGCAGCCGCGGUAAUACGAGGGGUCCUAGCGUUGUUCGGAAUCAUUGGGCGUAAAGGGUGUGUAGGUGGCCAUGUAAGUCAGGUGUGAAAGCCCCGGGCUCAACCCGGGAAGUGCACUUGAUACUGCGUGGCUUGAGUACCGAAGAGGGUAGUGGAAUUCCAGGUGUAGUGGUGAAAUACGUAGAUAUCUGGAGGAACACCGGUGGCGAAGGCGGCUACCUGGUCGAGUACUGACACUGAGACACGAAAGCAUGGGGAUCAAACAGGAUUAGAAACCCCAGUAGUCC
rnacentral:rRNA from 1 species